ACGCCGAAGGUGGGGCUGAUGACUGGGGUGAAGUCGUAACAAGGUAGCCGUACCGGAAGGUGCGGCUGGAUCACCUCCUAACAGGGAGACAAAACUGAUUAUGAUGUCUGAUAAAAAUAUUAGGCCUUAAUCCUGUCACCUUAGGUCGAUCGGUACCUCAGAUUGAAACUGCUGAAUGAGGAAUAAACCCCUUAUUUAAUAUGUUUUCAGUUUUAGUUCCUAAACUUGUCUAGGUCACACCCAACAAACUUUCUCCUGGGCUAUUAGCUCAGGCGGUUAGAGCGCACCCCUGAUAAGGGUGAGGUCCCUGGUUCAAGUCCAGGAUGGCCCAUUCGUUGUUGGGGGUAUAGCUCAGUUGGUAGAGCGCCUGCUUUGCAAGCAGGAUGUCAGCGGUUCGAGUCCGCUUACCUCCACUGAUCAACUACCUGAUAACUCAUUUUGGAGAUUGUUAUUUGGUUAAUGUGAUUUAGGCGUUGUUCGUCUGAAAGAACCUAGCUUCCUAUCAAUCGUUAAUUAUUUUUGGCUGAUAAGACGCUGGGCUCACUGAUAUCCGAACAGAUAUCAGUAAGAUUCAGCAGAACCUUGACAACUGCAUAGGAAAAUCUAGAGAAAUAAAGCAUCUCAUAGAUAAAAGUUACUUGUAUUUAGAAUAUAUAAGUUUCUUUUUUAAUUCUUGAGUUAGAGCAACAUUCAUUUUCUUCAUUUUUUGAAUGAAAAUGAAUUUAAUUGGUCAAGCUAC
rnacentral:misc_RNA from 1 species